rnacentral:tRNA from 1 species
GCCGCAGUGGCGGAACUGGUAGACGCGCACGUUUCAGGGGCGUGUGUCCGUGAGGAUGUGGGGGUUCGACUCCCCCCUGCGGCA